GUAAGAAAUCAAACUUUGAACUAGUCAAAUUGUAAUCUUAAUUUGAACCAUUUCGAAAUUCAUUAAAAUGACGUACUUUUUAGGCAAACAUUGUCCCGAAAAAGAUGUUAAACAGCUUUCCGUAAUAUAACCUGGUAACAUGGACUUUAAAAGCAUUUAAAAAAGCGUUUUUAUCAUGGAAAACAGGCAAUUGAAAUAUCACUGUGAUUUCACCUUUUUCCCCCCAGAGAAAGCCCAUUUUCGGUGCACCCGUACAGCUCAUGCAUUGCAUCACACGCAAUAAGUGAAUACGUCAAAUGAAAGCUUAUUUAUCGUAGAAUCGGUCAACCGAAUAAUAUUCCGCAUUAUUUGUCAUAAAAUUAUCAAAUUUAAGUGAUUCUUACUUGGAGAAUGUUAUCUUAAGUUGAACCAUUUGUAAUCUAAAUUUGAACUAGUAAAUGGGGGGUAAGCUUCCAGUGUUGGCCUGUAGAUUGCGCUAGUGGUUGCUUUGUUUACUCUUGGGGGAUGAAAAAUUCCAAAUUUAGUUUCCAAAUUCCUAAAGAAUUUCGAACAUUCUGAGGUGAGAUUCCACUGCCUAAUGAAAAAUAGGUAUGCGAAUUAGCAGAUUCAUGUGAUUUUUAAUUGUUUAGCAUGGAAUUGGCUGUUUUGUGAGUUGCUCGAGCUGCUGCCGCCAGUAGUUCAAAUUAAGAUUAAAAUUGGUUCAAAUUAUGAUUAAAAUCAUUGUUGAUGAAAAAUCAAAUAUUUUAAUGAAAUUCGGUGCAAAUACAAACUUUUUACCAUUUAACAGAAAGCUUAUACCCGUGGCUUUCAUGUACAUACGAUUUUGCCGUAGUAAAUUAUUUCCAUGGGGGAGAAAAAAUCACUUAAAAUUUGCACUGCUUCAGAAAGCCGCAAUUUGGUUCAAAUUUUGAUUACCUACCCUAGCUGUGUUUAUAAAUAUUAAAAAUUACGAAAAUCAACUAAGAAAGCAUGAUAAAAUACUGAUUUUUUAUGAACUGGGAAGAAAAUCAACAUGAUCGAAAUGAAACCAAUCUACACGCUAACCUGAAACUACCCAUCGACUGGGUCGAUUCGACCCGGAUUUUCAUGUUGUUAGCAGUUGUCAUAAUCCGGGUAACCCGAAAACCCAGAUUCGUUGAAUUUGGGUAAAGAUCUGGGUAAUCGGCACUUUGUCACUUUUCAGCUUGAGAAUAUGGCAGCGGUCAGGAGAACGCUGAAAACUAUGAA